rnacentral:rRNA from 1 species
UACGAAGGGUGCAAGCGUUACUCGGAAUUACUGGGCGUAAAGCGUGCGUAGGUGGUUUGUUAAGUCUGUUGUGAAAGCCCCGGGCUCAACCUGGGAAUGGCAAUGGAUACUGGCAAGCUAGAGUCGCGGUAGAGGGUAGUGGAAGUUCCCGGUGGUAGCGGUGAAAUGCGUAGAGAAUCGGGAGGAACACCAGUGGCGAAGGCGGGCUACCCUG